UUUUAUUUCACAACAAAGUCAUUUAGACGUUGUGUGGGGAUUACUGUCUGGCUAAUAAUACUAGGAUAUAAAAAUGUUGUUUUUCGGAAUUAUAUCUGGAUUCUUUCGAACUUAAAAGAGGAAAGAAUGAAGAGCGAUGAAGUACUUGUUUCUAAUGUCGAAAUAAAAUGCGAUUCGAUUAGAUCGCUUCCUACAUAUAGUAUCUUUUCUAAUGCAAAUCGAUUCGAUUCGUUUCGUUUCCUUACCUCACCUUUUUGCUGAACCCUCCUCUGAAUUCCUAAUUUUCUGCAUUCCUCAUCGCACUAUUAACUUUUCUGCACUCUCAAUUUCUUGCAUUUCUUUUCGCUUCAAUCAGAAUAGAACUGUUUGCACUUUGAGACUACACAUAACAAUGGUGGGGCCACACAUCAGAGGCCAGGCCAGAUAGUGGAGCAAUCAAUCUUUACUGUGUUGCAUGCAAACAGAAAACAGACGACAGACGACAGUCGACUGAUAAUGCCCCACACUCGAUCUACAAGAAUGCAAAAUACAUAAAGACCAAGGAAAGUUUUUUAAUUGCAACUUGUCGCGGAGAUAAUUGGAAGGGAAUCGAUUGGAAUGCCAUGCCAUGGCAUGUAAACGAUGCGACGUUAAUGAGGCAGCGGCAAGGCCUAUAAGAAAAAUUUAGAACCUUCAAAUGUUCAAAAAUUUAUAAGAAUUUUUGUAUUGUAUUUCAUUACAGACCUUAAAUAUGACGAAAGUAAAGCUAAUUAUAAAGAA